CCCAACAUCAAUCAAAAAAAAAAAAAAAAAAAACUCUUCCCUUUCUCUGGGUUUCAUCACCCAAUUGGGGAUAAUCACCAAAAAUAUAUUAAAAUAUGUAUAUAUCAAAAUACAAACUCUUUGGCUUUAGGGUUCAAAGAAAGGAAAAAAAAAAAAAACUCUUUGGCUUCUAAUUGGGUUCUAGAAGUUGCAAAAUCUAGAAGAGAGGGAGAAGAGAGAGGAUUUGAAGCACUGGUUGAGCGGCAAACAAACUCUUACCAUAUUUGUUUCCAAAGAAAACCCAACGCAAUGAAGAAGAUCAAUUUCGAGAGCUCCUUUUCAAACCCCCUCAAUCGAUCUAUCAAUAAUCGUUUCUAACUCUGCCCAUCGAUUAUGUCUUUGAAGUCUGUUUUUCUUUGAAAUGGUUCCAAGAAAAACUAAUGAACCUGGGUAAAGAAGACCCAGAAAUUGCCGAAAACAGAGAUACAGUAGUUGCUCCUCCGAGGAAGAGCAUUGUUGAACCAGUCGAUCACUGGACUUUUUGUAGAUGAAAUCGAAGCUCCCAUGUGGGUAGAUCUCAAUCUAGAAGCCGCAUCUGGUUACAAAGACAAGUUAGUUUCUUUACAACUAGUUCUAAAAAUGGUUCCUUCAUGUGUUCUUGUAAAGUUGUUGUAGCUUGUAUGUCAAUUGUAAGACUCCACAUCUUGAAUCCAAUUUUAAUCUUCUUCUGUUACAUUGCAGUGAUGAUAACUGGUUCAAAAUAAGCCAUUUGUUGUAGUCUUUUAUUAAUUAAUAUGUCUAUCUUUGCUAUCUUCCUCAUUUUAUUAACAAAAUAUUUUGCAAGCCUAAAGUAGUACCAGACAUGUGGCUUAGAAACCCACAUUUCACAGGAAAUAAAUUUAUAAAAAAAAUGAAGCUUAGCUGAAACUAAAAAUAGGUAACUAAAUUAAUGAUAAUAAUUUUUAUUUUGUUGUCAAGUGUUGUUAACUUGCAUUGAGUUUGUUAUCCUUGUUGUAUCCAAUAAUAAUUAUGAAACAACUAUUUCUAUAUGAUUAGUUCAUUUUCCUUUAUGGUUUUAAUCAUAUUCUAAUGAUUAGUUCAUUUUUAAAAUGUUGUCCUAUGGAACCACAAUGCUCUUUUCCACCAAAAAAAAAAAAAAACCACAAUGCUCUUUAUUUUUAUUUGUUUCUCUUUUGUGAAAUGUUUUCUUUAUCCUUUAUGCACUUUGUGUGGAUGCAAUUCAUCUACUCUUAAUAGCUUUGUGGAUUGAGUAUUCUUAACUUGGAUGUGCUCUCUUUUCUUAAUCUAUUUGAGUAUUCUUAACUCUGUUUUUUUUUGAAGGGUGGUAUUCAAUUUCAUGGCUAGGUCUUUUGGAGGGUGGUAUUCUUAACUCUGUUCUUUUGGAGGGUGAUUGUGAAAGCUUUGAAGGUGGAUAGUUUGCAAAGACUUUGCUCAUCUUUGGAGCCACUUUUCCUUAUAAUUGUUUGAAGCGAUAUGGUAAGAGUUGCAAGCUUAGAUGGUUGAAUUAUCUUAGAUCAGACAUCAAAAGAGGUACAAGGAAAUGAUAGGGCUGUUACAAAUGUUAUGGUUAUUCCAAAGAAAGAUUUGUUUGGUCCUUAAUAUUUGCUACUGGUAUCUUUUGUCUUGGUUCUAGUGCUACAAUCAUUCAUGGCAUUCAAAACUUGUGCACUUCUCAGAUGGUGCUGCAGUAACAGGUCUACUCAUUGCUAUUGCAUCAUUGGUUGCUGCAACAAAGAAUAGCUUUGGCUGUUCCACUUCGGUUGCUUGCAGUGGUUCAUAGCAAAUAACCCAACCUUAAAAAUCAAAUACAAGUUGAUAUUAAUGCACUCGUAUAGGCAAACAACCAUAGCAUCUCGACCUCACAAAUGCUCAACUGAACACCUGGCCUGUUGCACACAAUUUUUGAUGUUCAGAAACAUUUUUGGAUGGUUUGGAAUGUACAAAUAAUUUUUGGAUGUUCAAAACUUAUGAAUAGCUUUUUGAUGCUUGAAAUAAUAUUUUGGUAGUUAAUUGAUACUUA